ACAUACACGGCAGCAAAAUCACUGGAGUCCAGGGUUUUUGUCACACACACAGAGCACAGAUUUUUUUGAUUAUGUAGAUUUCUUUUCCUACUGCAGUUUCAUAUGCAAAGCAUGCAUCAGCCACAUCCAUGCUAUCUCCUAAAGCAGUCAUUCUGAAACCCAAUCUGGGGACAGUGCAGACUAAAUAAAAUUUCAUUUUGAUUUGGCCUCCCGCUGCGAAUGGGACUGCUUUGUCUCAGCCGACAGAACCAGCAAGCCAGAAAGAUGAGGAAACUGAGCCAUCAAAACUGAAUGACUUGCUUGAGGCCAUGCAGCUAUGGAGGGGAAGACCAGGAUCUGAAGCCAACUGGGUCUCCCAACCCUGAGCCACUGAACCAUUUUACUUCUUCGAAAAACUUAAUAGUCACCGUGGCCCACCUAGGCCACGGACAGCAUGGAGGUAAUGAACUUUGAUCAAAAACCUAUGGUGCAUUGACUGAGCAUUUAUUAUUUUAAGACAAUAUAUUUGGAUGUCUUUUGCAUGUACAGAAUUCAAAUUAUUAAUAAUGUCCACAAAAGUUGCCAUAUAUUUUUAUGCUGAAAUACAAUAAAAUGUCAACUUCAUUCCAGUGGCCUUUAUACAGUACACAUUAUGUUUAAUGUCGUUCUGUAUUGCAGCUAAAUUUAUUAUCUAACUUGUUUAUGCCAAUAAGCUGAUGCAUAUGAAAGAUACCUGCAAAAAAAUUAUCUUCUCAAAACACUUCAGAAAAAGCCAUAAAAGUAUUAUGAUAAAAUAUCAGAGGAAGAUAUAAAAUUGGGAGGAGGUGAAAUUAUGCUUCGUAGCACUUGCUCACGAUAUUUGAGAAAGUAAACAUUUCUGUCCUUUAAAUGAUUUCUGAAUUUCUCUAACAGUGCUGCUCUAUUUUCUCAGUCAACCUUGCUGAAUAGCUCAGUUUUCCUUUGCAGUUUGCAGAGAAUGUGGCAGGAAGAUAAGCCUGUUUUUUUCUCUUUCUCACGUAACACUGCAGAGGUCAUCCCUCACCUCCAGAGCUGGCCUUGUCCCUAGCGCCCACAUGUGCUCUGUGGCUCAGAGUGGUCCACAGGACCUUCCAAAUCCAAGCACAGGGUAAAGGUUUGAAAUGUAUAUUUUUAAUUUUUAGUACAUAUUUACUGAGCUACCAGUGCUGUGCACACAUCGUUCCCUCCAUGGAGCAUGGUUGAAAAUUCCCAGAGAGAAAAUUCCCUUUCUCUGAACACAGUGUGAGACAGCUCCCUGGCUGAUAGCCCCUCAAGGCAAACAUGAUGACAGGCGCCUUCAAGAUUCUAACAAGAGCCCUGGGCUCUCAUUGCAUGCAUGACACCAAAAGCACUUUAUUUUCUUACACAAUAGUUCUACUGGGGCUCUCCAGGCUGCAGACACAGAACUGGGGCUUAUGGGGCAGGAGAUUGAAUAAGGAUACCUAUAAGGACCUACAUGGAGGAAGGGAAGGAGACGAGACAGGACUAGAAGGGAAAAGGCGGCCUCAACAGAGUCCAACUGAUCUUGGGGAGCUCUGAUCUUGGGGAGCAUUAUAAAGGUAUUCAUCCUUGUAGUCUCCACGUUGAGUAGGCUGCUGGGGAGGAGGGAGGGGAGGAGUGGGUUUUGCUGUCUCAGUGCGCAGAGGUGGAAGAAAAUGUAUCUGUAAGUGGACUGUGCACUUCAAACCUGUGACACUCAAGAAUCAACUGUGUAAUAAAAGUGUGUGUGUGUAUUGAACCACUACCUCUCUAAGCUUCUAGAACAGUUCCUUACACAUAGCAGCGUUAAAUAUUUGUUGGGUGAAGUCAUAAAUAAAUGACAUCAAUGAACAAAUAGAAGCUUGCUUAAAAGGUAUGGAUAAUGUGGUUUGUAAGUUACUGAAGUUUUUAAGAAGGAUAUGAGAAGAAAUAUCAGCUAAAAUAAAAUAAUCUAAUGAAUGGAAAUAAACAUGUUUUCAUACUGAGUUAUGGUCAAAGAGAAGAGCAUUUUUAUCACAGUUCCUUUCUACACACCUUGACCACUGGGAUCAUGUUUCAUUCUGGUUGUAUUCUCCAAACCCCCAUCACGGUACCUUAAAUUAUUAGGUACCCGCUUGCUGUUUGUUGCAUUUAAUUGAUUUAGUCUAUUUAACCUCAUGAUGAAGGCAGAAGACCACAGUCCCUGAUGCCGUUAUGAAUGUAGAAGGCCAGUGUGUUCCAAGUGUCAGUAUGCCUUUUUCUAGAUCAUCUUUAAUACUAUUAGACUAGUGUGCCAAUUUCCCUCAAUAUGUGAAAACAACAUUCAAUAUUGCGUUGCUAUUUAAGAGGAUUUGUUAACUUUCAUGGGAAUAAAAGGCCCAUUGAGUGGAGCUCAGAAGCACUAGCCCAUCACAACAUUUUAUGGUGUACUCUUCUCGGCCCCAUCAUGGCCAGAGGUGUUGCCUUCAUGUUCUAGAGGACGACUCAGGACACACUUGGCUGUGGGAGGGAGGCAUGUGGGGAGUCUGGCUGGGUUCCUGUAUUUUAGUUUGGUAAACCAGUCACUCAAUCUCCUUAGGAGAAACCGGUAUCAUGUGUCUUGAAGCAAAUAAAUGACUGACUCUGACAUUCCUCUUUUAGGAUAAACUGUUUCCCUAGAAAUGCUCUCCAGCAUUCUUGCCACCAUGACUUUGGGACACGUUGACCAUGAGGAUGAGAUGGUCAAUGAUGGACAGGAGUCCAGAUUAUCUGAGACGUAGCAAUAAGGACACUGAUGCGUAAAUAUUUGAAAUAUCCAACAGGAAGCAUUUUAACUGUGCAAACAUGAUCCAAAUCUCACCGAGCUCAGGCCAAGGCUGCUAUCAGUGACUUUUUGGAAAAGAAAAAUGAGGAAGAGGAAAGAAACAGAGAAACAAGGCAUGCAGAAGAAAGCAGGAACCACAAAAACAGCAGCAAUAUGCCCUGUGUGUUCUGUUUCCUUGUAAAGCUACGAAGCGUGUUAAGGAGACACUUCAUUUUUUGAGGAUUCAUGCUCUUGUUUAUAUUAUAAUAAAAACAAGCACGUUCUUUCUAAAAAUUUAGGCAAUGCACUCAUGCACAUAAAAGUAAAACAAAAUCACCUGUAAUCCUACCACACGCAGAUCAGCACUUGCUGAUCUUUUCGUAGGGAUUCUAAAAAUAUCCUUUUCCCUAUAGAAUACGGUUAACUUCCGUUACCUAAUAACUGUUAACCAUUUAAAAAUUCUGCAAUCUUGUAUUAUGCUAGAAAAAGGAGCAGUCACUCUAUGUGGUAUUUCUAUAUAUUGGUUCAUUCAUUCAAUAAACAUUUUUAAAGUACCUAC